AAUCAGCAGGAAAGACUAGAAAGAUAUUUAAAGCAAUGAUUGGAUGAUUUUGUAUGUAUGGUAUUCAUCCUUUAGAGGCUUUGCGUGCUAUUAAUACACGAAGGGCAUUAGAUGCCAUGCGUGUAGAAGCAAGUGGAAUUCCUCGAGAUGAAUUAGAGAAUCGAGUAAAGAGAUAUGAAGAACAUCAGCAAGAUCUUCAGAAGGCUGGGUUUUUUAAAAGACUUUUCAAUACAACACCGAUGCCUAUUAUUUUAGGAAUCGGAGAAAAUAGCCAGCCCUAUGCUUAUGAAAUAGCGAGAGAAAUUUUAACACAAAAUUAAUUUUCUAGAAUCCUCAGAGACUACACGCUAAACAUCGAAAGAUGAAGAUAUAGUCCGAUCCUUAUAGCGAUAUAAGGUGUUGUAGAAACAACUAGAAAACAAACAUGAGCGUAAUGCCUUGUCUUCUGAAUGGAGACGUGCAUGAAUGGUUUAACGAGAUAGUCACUGUCCCUAACCAAUACCUUCUGAACUCACUUACCGGUGAAAAUGCCGGUGACGCCUUGUGGGAAGCGGAGACCUUGCUGUACUAUUAUAGUAGAUGCAUAGAAUAAGUAGGAGCGUCGAAGCUAGUUUUUUGGAACUAGUGGAGCGAAAUAUGUAAUACUACUCAUUUGUUGUGCUAGUGCUUACCGCGCAAGCGGGACACCAACUGGCGGGCAGUUUGGCUGGGGCGGCACCCUGGAGAAAAGAUAUCUCUAGGGCCUAAAGACAAGCUCAUCCGGGUUGGAAAUCUGGAGUUGAGUGCGAAGGCAAAAGCUUGUCUGACUGUAUUCCGAACAGCAAGGGAUGCAGAGAUGAAAGUCGGGCUUAGCGACCCCACGUAGUUUCUUAAUAGGACUCGUGUGUGACAGAAAAGGUACUCUAAGGAUAACAGGCUUGUCGCGCCCGAUAGUCCAUAUUGACGGCGCGGUUUGGUACAUCGCUGUCGGCUCUUCCUAUCCUGGUUGUGCAUAAGCAACCAAGCACAGGCGGCCAAGGGUGUCGGAGUUCACGCAUUAAAAGGGAUCGUUAGCUGGGUUAAGAACGUAAACAAUAAACUAACGAUACAGAAAAUCAAAGAUUUUCUGUCUGUUCAAAACAAGUAUAUUUUGAACAUAUUCCCGUACCAAUAGAAAAAUAAAAUUUUCUUUUACCGCAACUAUCAAAAAUACGGCGUUGCGUGCAAGUGAUUGCACGAAAAAUUAAAUCAGCUCAUAUCGGUGAAGUCUUUCUCUAAUAGAGAAUGAUAAUACCGAGGGAAGAUAUUCUCAUGAAGAAUAUCCCCGUAGAGACUUCAACUACUUCAACAGUAAUGUUGGAGUGACAGAAAUUAAAAAUUUCUGUAUUUCUGAAAUGAAUAGAACCCGUCAAGUUCGACAAAGUUGAGAAUCGUUCGUUGUAGAGUGAUGUCUACUGAAGAUUAUAUCAAGAAUGGUUAAGACGCUGAUCACUCAAACUCGUAAGAGUUCUGAGUUGAAGGUAUAGUCCAUACUAAUCGAAAAAAUUAAGAUUAGAUUAUAUACGUGAGACAGUUUGUAUGAUAUCUGCAAGGCGCGUUGUUGUUUGAGUGGAACGAGGAUUUAGUACGAGAGGAACGAUCCUCGGAUGCCUCUGGUAAGGCCGUGGAAGAAGACCACGUUGAUAGAGUUGGCGUGUGCGCCCUAAGGUAACGAGGGGUUUAGCGUACAACUACUAAUAGCCUCAAUAAAAUUUUUU
rnacentral:rRNA from 1 species